CCGUGUGAGAUGGAGCGAUUAACGAGGUUUGACGGGUGUCAAGCCCCACAGAAGUUAAGUGCUGCUGAAAGGAAGCAGGAGCCGGCUUCAGGCAUCUCUUCAAGAGAGUGUCGUUAGGUGACUCCCCUGGAGCAGGUGUUCUGCCCGGUGUGGUCCUGUUCUCGUUCGCGACUGGGGCUGACACUCCGUCAAGUGAAGAAGUUUGUAUAUACACAAUGUGUAGACGUAAGGAACGGGACCUCGGUGGGUUCCAGCCCGGUGUGUGUGCCCUUACAGGCAACAGCAAAGCCAAAAGGAUUGAAUGCGUCUGCUAUCCUGGUUCGGUCUACGGAGUCCCAACGAGCAGGCAUGGACGCAGUUGUGGAAAAUCAAAGCACAGUGAGAAAACUGUACCAGGAAGAACAGGGAGUCCGCAUGUGCUCUUGAGAACAAGGACUCUCUUGCUGCCAAGGAUAAGUUUAGCAAUGCUACUGGUACGGCUAUUUCUGAGUUAUUGCUGAUGUAGAUAGUAGUCGACAUGCGACGCUGCAAAACAGAGCUGCUAUUGACUUUUUGCUUUCAGCUCACAGACAUGGUUGUCAAGAUUUUAAAGGACUGUGUUGUAUGAAUCUAAGUGACCACUCCAAAUCCAUCCAUGCCCAGUUGCAAGAACGGCACCGACCCAACCAGCAACUUGUGGAGACCACUGGGUGCAAUCUUUUUUGGAUGGACUUGGGGGUGGGGUUGGUUGAAGCAAAUUAUACUCGUUUGCCUGUGUGGAAGGAAUUUGUCUGUUAUGUUUAGUACGCCGUUUGCCGUGUUUAAUAAGCAUUAUACGAUCAGUUGUAGAUGCCGCUUUGCAUCGUACCCUGGUACGAGUUGUAGAAUAUGUUGCUGUAAAAACUGCGUGUGUAUCCAUGAGAACCUGACCUUCACAGAAGAAGAUAACAAGAAGGGAUUACAACAAUGUGGUCACGUAUCAGACAGCCGCCGUUAGCAAAGCCGGAUCACGAGUCUGGUGGGACUCGCUGCAUGCGCUGGCCACACGUGCAGCGACUCUAGCCUGUACUUCUCCACUCAAUCCGGUGCAGGAUAUAAGGGGUCUGUCUCGGGCCGGAGAGAGGGAGAGAGAAAUGAGCGCACUUUGAAGAUACAGGGGACGCCCUGGAGCGCUGUCUCUGUCCCCGCGCCCCCUCCCAUAAGUUCUAUGUUCAUUAACCCCAACAGCUCAGAAGGCAUUACAGCACGUUGCAGGUAAGAUAUAGUCUACUACUGCUGCAAGACACGUUGAACACCUUCCUACAAGAAUUUCAACCUUACGCCCUGAUAGGACAGUGGGAUGAUGCACUCGCAAAGAGCCCGACUGCAUUAGAGUGGGUAGUUUUGCCACGUACCUUUUCCAAAACAGUAACUAUGAUGACUGAAAUGUUACCACGAUUGUUUUCCCAGGGUCGUUUGUGCUGUCAGCAGCUUUCUGGAAUGGAUCCAAGCCACAUACAUGUCCCUGUCAAAAAGGACGACCUUGACCCUUGGUUAUCACAAAGUCUUAACCUACAGAUUGCCUCAGUAGAUUCUACUGGGCAAAUAAAUUAUUCUCUCCCCUGCCUUUAGAGCCACAGGAGGUUGGUAUUCUAGGCUAAAUUCAGAUGGAUGCUCGUAAGUGUUUUAACUUUGCCAAAUGCUCUUGAAACGCAACAUAUCUCCAAAAGGUCACCCCUCUUGAUUACCGGGUACACUUUUGGCAGCCACCUGUGGUUGCCAUUUCUUCUUUCUCUGCUCCCGGUGUGGCUUCUGCAAAAGGGCUAACGCUCUUAAAAAAAGCUAGGUUGUUGGCUUGUGGAACAAAGUAAGGCUACUUCAGUAGCUCUUCCUGGCCUUUUAUUAGAUGUAGAUUCAGUACGCCAUGCAACUCUGUAAAAUAGAGCAGCCGUCAAUUUUCUGUUAUUAGCGCAUGGCCAUGGAUGUGAAGAUUUUGAUGGCACGUGCUGUAUGAAUUUAUCAGACCACUCUGAAUCAAUCCAUAAAAGUAUACAACAGUUAGAGCAAAAUGUGCAGAAAUUACGAAUGGGGGGAGUUGGGGAUGGCUGGAUAACCUUUUUAACAGUUGGGGCUUAACUGGAUGGUUGCAAUCAGCUCUCAAAUUCUUGCUUUUUUGUAUAAGCAUAUUCUUGUGCAUUAUGCUUUGUAUUCCCUGUGUGCUACGGUGUGCGCAGCGUCUUACAGAUAAAACCUUGGCCACUGUUUUUGUAGUAAAUGAAGAAGGGGGAAUUGUGGAUGCCGAAGGACGUGCGGACGCAGCACCUGGAAGGAGCCCUGGAGUUCUCAUCGCUCUCCCUGGCGGCAAAGUGUGGGAUAAGUAAACAAUCCCUAGCUACACAGCACCUGGGCCAUAGAAUCAUAGAGUCAUUUAGGUUGGAAAAGACCCUUGGGAUCAUCGAGUCCGAGCAUCAGCACCACUCUACGAAGUUCUCCCUUACUCUCUUAACACCACAUCUAAACGAGUCUUAAACACAUUCAGGGAUGGUGACUCAGCCCUUCAUGCGGUUCUCAUCCUCCUUGUUUGGUUUAGUUGUGUUUUAAUGUUGCAGACUUAGAGGGGCGAUUUGGUGUGCUGUCUCCAUUUGGAAGGGAAAGUGAUUUUCAGAUUUUCAGAUGCGAUGCAUUUAACAGGACACAAAUGCCCUCAGCUGUAGGGACCCAGGUGCCUCUUGCCAGUGCAGAUGCCCUGAGACCCUCUGCCCAACCUCCCUGUGCAGCUGCUGGGGGCUCUGGUGUCCCUCAGCUCUCAUGUGCUGGCUGCCAGUCCCAGGGAAAGGCAUCAGGUAACUGGGGUGUCGAGCAACUGAGGUCUGCCUGAGAAGCUGAGGAAUUGUUUUCCACAUUUAAAAAAAUACGAGCACGUUUUCAGCAGCAGAGAUGAAUGAAUACAUUUCAUAAAAUGAAGAUGCCCAGGAGCUGUAACGUCCCAACUACAGACUUCAGUGGGAAAUGGUUAGGUUUUAACAUUGAGAUGUUAAAAUCAUGGCCAGGUGGCCACGGAGAGAAAUGGCGGGGUUGGGGCGGUGUGGAGGAACUGUCUAUACGGUGUUUGCCAUCGAGGAGACUGCUUUUCCUACAUGUCCAGAGCUCCUUAGGAGGCACCCUGGAUGAAUAUCGGCCGAAGAUUGUUGGGAACACUUAUUCUGUCAGCUGGGAAAAAAAACUGACAAAAGAAACCAAAAAUCUCAAAAAGUCCUUUCCCUUUGAUAUUCAUUGAAAUCUCCCUCUUUAAAGUCCUGAAACCUCUCCAACCGGCUGUACGAGACUUGAAGACUUGAAGAAUCUUAUGGGGAAAGGCAUGGCUCAUCAGAGCUUUUUGCAUUUUAACGACCCUGUGAUGUAUUUGGUGCUGACUCCCAUGGACCUCAGUUACCGUGAGGAGAGUGAUCAAACCACUUGAGAAGUUAAAGUCAGAAGUUAAAGUCAGAUGGCUCUGAUGCUGAGUCAACCUCUGAUGUCUUCUGUCAAGGAAAGGUCCAUUUUAAUGUCACCAGAAGCACCCACACAAACCAUACACCGGCUCCUUGCCUAAAAGUUACACAGGCAGUGGGGAAAUCACAGGCCAUGUUCCUGCUCCUGCCCUACCAGGUACGCGGGCAGCAGUGACUUCACCAGCACCUACACAACCCAUGGGCCUCUUGCUGGCCUGUCAGCUGAACGGUCACAGGUGACCUUGCAAACACCUACACAAGAUGGGUGCCCAGUCCUGGCCUACCAGAUUCUCAGGCACCUGGGACCUCAAAAUACCCAACACAAGACAUGUUUCUCCUGGGCUCCUCAGGCACCAGUGCCAUCGCAAAGACAUCCACAAGCCAGGUGACAGCUCCUGGCCUGUCAUCUGCGCAGGGACCAGUGACCUCACAAGCACCUACAUGAGCUGUGCACCUGGUCCUGCCUUAUCAGCUACUCAGCCAAGAGUGACAUCACAAGUACAAACCUGAGCCACGUGUCUCCUAUCAGCUACAGCAGCACCAGUGACCUCACCAGCCCCUACAGGAGCCCUGGCCUUGCUCCUGGUCUAUCCGCUACUCAGGCACCAGAGACCUGACCACCCCGUCUCCCCGUGCUUGCUGUCUGCUCACCUCUGAGAUACGACUCCUCACAAGCUCCUACACACACCAGAAGCCUCCUCUUGGCCUGUUGGCUACUCAGGCAGCAGCUCCUCACAAGCACAUACC